rnacentral:RNase_P_RNA from 1 species
GAAGCCGGCCAGACCGCCGCUGGUGCGAUCAGGGAAACCUGGCACUGGAGGAAGGUCCGGACUGCAUAGGGCAGCGUAGCAGCUAACGGCUGCCCACCGUGAGGUGAGGAUCAGAGCAACAGAGACGAGUCAGACCGGGGUUCCUGAGAAGGGUGCUCUGCGAGGCGCCGGCGCAAGCCGGCGAGAGGGCAGCGCAAGCUGCCCGAAGGCGGCGAAGGCCGCCUCCGAGCAGCCACCCAGACCGGGGCUGCGCCCCGGUCUGGGUGAAACGGGCAAUCUCUACGCGCAGCAACACCAAAUAGGCCGGCUAUGAGGCGGCCCGCGGAGCCGGCGGGUAGGUGGCAUCGAGCCGUGGGGGCGACCCCCGGCCCAGAGGAAUGGCGGUCACGGCAGCGCGCCGCAAGGCGCGGGGCUGCACAGAAUCCGGCCUAUCGGUCGACUUCACAC